rnacentral:rRNA from 1 species
GUCUACAUACCCUAAAGACACUAGAUCCCAUUUGAUCUUGAAAACUAAGCAGGAUCAGCCCUAGGUAGUACUUUGAUGGGAAUCUGCCAAUGAAAACCAGGUGUUGUAGACU